rnacentral:rRNA from 1 species
GAUGAACGCUGGCGGCGUGCCUAAUACAUGCAAGUAGAACGCUGAAGGAGGAGCUUGCUCUUCUGGAUGAGUUGCGAACGGGUGAGUAACGCGUAGGUAACCUGCCUGGUAGCGGGGGAUAACUAUUGGAAACGAUAGCUAAUACCGCAUGACAACAGUUAUUGCAUGAUAACUGUUUAAAAGGGGCAAUUGCUCCACUACCAGAUGGACCUGCGUUGUAUUAGCUAGUUGGUGAGGUAACGGCUCACCAAGGCGACGAUACAUAGCCGACCGGGAAGGGUGAUCGGCCACACCGGGGCUUGGACACGGCCCAGACUCCUACGGGAGGCAGCAGUAGGGAAUCUUCGGCAAUGGACGGAAGUCUGACCGAGCAACGCCGCGUGAGUGAAUAAGGUUUUCGGAUCGGAAAGCUCUGUUGUAAGAGAAGAACGAGUGUGAGAGUUGAAAGUUCACACUGUGACGGUAUCUAACCAGAAAGGGACGGCUAACUACGUG